AUACGGAGGGUGCAAGCGUUACUCGGAAUCACUGGGCGUGAAGCGCGCGCAGGCGGCUUGAUAAGUUGGAUGUGAAAGCCUACGGCUCAACCGUAGAACUGCAUCCAAAACUGUCAGGCUAGAGUGUGGGAGAGGAAGAUGGAAUUAGUUGUGUAGGGGUAAAAUCCGUAGAGAUAACUAGGAAUACCAAAAGCGAAGGCAAUCUUCUGGAACACUACUGACGCUGAGGCGCGAAGGCGUGGGGAGCAAACAGGAUUAGAUACCCUAGUAGUCC
rnacentral:rRNA from 1 species